rnacentral:rRNA from 1 species
ACGGGAGGCAGCAGUGGGGAAUAUUGGGCAAUGGGCGAAAGCCUGACCCAGCGACGCCGCGUGAAGGAAGAAGGUCUUCGGAUUGUAAACUUCUUUUAUAUGGGACGAAGAAAAUGACGGUACCAUAUGAAUAAGCCACGGCUAACUACGUGCCAGCAGCCGCGGUAAUACGUAGGUGGCGAGCGUUAUCCGGAUUUAUUGGGUUUAAAGGGUGCGCAGGCGGCACGUUAAGUCAGCGGUGAAAUGUCGGGGCUCAACCCGGGCACUGCCGUUGAAACUGGCGAGCUUGAGUACGGAUGAAGUCGGCGGAAUGUGAUGUGUAGCGGUGAAAUGCUUAGAUAUGUCACAGAACACCGAUUGCGAAGGCAGCUGACUAAUCCGCAACUGACGCUCAGGCACGAAAGCGUGGGGAUCGAACAGGAUUAGAUACCCUGGUA